UGACCCCUCGCCCAGCAGGCUGCACAGACUGCCGUGACCGAACUCGGUGUAGUGCCUGAGAUGGUUCCCUGGAGACCCGAACUUGGCAUAAGGGAAUUAUAGCUCAUGGAAGAGGCUCAUCUGAAACCCAGCCUUACCCCAGAAAGGACAACAUAUUUGGUGCCCCUCCCCAGGCCAUUUAACAUUUGCCACCACUGCCCCAGGGCUCCCUGGCCUCCACCGUCUCCCCUAC